rnacentral:misc_RNA from 1 species
GAUGAAGAACGCAGCGAAAUGCGAUAAGUAAUGUGAAUUGCAGAAUUCAGUGAAUCAUCGAAUCUUUGAACGCACAUUGCGCCCGCCAGUAUUCUGGCGGGCAUGCCUGUUCGAGCGUCAUUACAACCCUCAGGCCCCCGGGCCUGGCGUUGGGGAUCGGCGGAGCCCCCCGUGGGCACACGCCGUCCCCCAAAUGCAGUGGCGGUCCCGCCGCAGCUUCCAUCGCGUAGUAGCUAACACCUCGCGACUGGAGAGCGGCGCGGCCACGCCGUAAAACACCCAACUCUUCUGAAGUUGACCUCGAAUCAGGUAGGAAUACCCGCUGAACUUAAGCAUAUCAAUAAGCAGAGGA